CCGGAUACCAAAGUUGGUAGAGCAGAGGACUGAAAAUCCUCGUGUCAAAGUUUUAAAAUAAA
rnacentral:tRNA from 1 species